rnacentral:rRNA from 1 species
GAUGAACGCUGGCGGCGUGCCUAAUACAUGCAAGUCGAGCGAACGGACGAGAAGCUUGCUUUUCUGAUGUUAGCGGCGGACGGGUGAGUAACACGUGGAUAACCUACCUAUAAGACUGGGAUAACUUCGGGAAACCGGAGCUAAUACCGGAUAAUAUUUUGAACCGCAGGGUUCAAAAGUGAAAGACGGUCUUGCUGUCACUUAUAGAUGGAUCCGCGCUGCAUUAGCUAGUUGGUAAGGUAACGGCUUACCAAGGCAACGAUGCAUAGCCGACCUGAGAGGGUGAUCGGCCACACUGGAACUGAGACACGGUCCAGACUCCUACGGGAGGCAGCAGUAGGGAAUCUUCCGCAAUGGGCGAAAGCCUGACGGAGCAACGCCGCGUGAGUGAUGAAGGUCUUCGGAUCGUAAAACUCUGUUAUUAGGGAAGAACAUAUGUGUAAGUAACUGUGCACAUCUUGACGGUACCUAAUCAGAAAGCCACGGCUAACUACGUG